rfam:Xenorhabdus khoisanae strain MCB contig009, whole genome shotgun sequence.
UGACAGCAACAUUGUUUGAGUAUCCUGAAAACGGGCUUUUCAGAAUGAUGUUGCAGUGAAUAAAUAUUGUAGGAGUGCAUAGUGGCCCGUAUAGCAGGCAUUAACAUUCCUGAU